CGGUGGGUCUUAGGCGGGGGGCUAGGGGUCCCCUGUACCAUAAACCCUCUAUAGGAUGGGCCGAAAGCUGAGGCAGAGGCGUCCGUGGCUGCCUAAACCCUCACUUCCGAAGCGAAGACUAUCCGUCCCUUGGGGCUGGCGGGCGUUGAACGGUUUCCGUAGGGAAAUCGAUUUCAACGUUUGUCAGGCGAACCUGGCCAGGCCCGGGAGGGAGCAACCUAAGUCUGGGCGUUCAGCGCUCAAGGGGUGCGGGUACGAGUGUAGGGUUUGAGGGAGUGGCGGAUUCUGGGCGUCGAACCUCAGUGACCCGCCG
rnacentral:SRP_RNA from 1 species